UUAAAAAGCUCUUAGUUGGAUUUCUGCGGGGGCGGGGCGGCCGGUUGCUUAUAGCAACUCGAGCUAGCACUUCCCCUGCAUCCUGCCGCGAACCGUGCUACCAUUAGUUUGGUGGCGCCGGGGAUCGGCUCGUUUACUUUGAGAAAAAUAGAGUGUUCAAAGCAGGCCACACGCCUUGAAUAAGUUAGCAUGGAAUAAUGACAAAGGACUUCGGUUCUAUUUUGUUGGUGUUCGGGACUGAAGUAAUGAUUGAUAGGGACAGUUGGGGCGGUCCGUAUUCCAAAGCGAGAGGUGAAAUUCUUAGACCUUCGGAAGACGAACAGCUGCGAAAGCGUUCCGCAAGGAUGUUCCCUUUGAUCAAGAACGAAAGUUGGGGGAUCGAAGACGAUCAGAUACCGUCGUAGUCUCAACUAUAAACUAUACCCGCUAGGGAUCGGCCAACGUUUAAUUACACCGACUUGGUCGGCACCUUAUGAGAAAUCAAAGCAUCUGGGUUCCGGGGGGAGUAUGGUCGCAAGGCUGAAACUUAAAGGAAUUGACGGAAGGGCACCACCAGCCGUGGAGCAUGCGGCUUAAUUUGACU
rnacentral:rRNA from 1 species